rnacentral:rRNA from 1 species
GUAGGGAAUAUUGGGCAAUGGAGGCAACUCUGACCCAGCCAUGCCGCGUGCAGGAUGACGGCCCUCUGGGUUGUAAACUGCUUUUAUACGGGAAGAAAAAAUACUACGUGUAGUAUACUGACGGUACCGUAAGAAUAAGGAUCGGCUAACUCCGUGCCAGCAGCCGCGGUAAUACGGAGGAUCCAAGCGUUGUCCGGAUUUAUUGGGUUUAAAGGGUGCGUAGGCGGAUCUUUAAGUCAGUGGUGAAAGCCUGCAGCUUAACUGUAGAAUUGCCAUUGAAACUGAAGAUCUUGAAUGUGGUUAAAGUAGGCGGAAUGGAUCAUGUAGCGGUGAAAUGCUUAGAUAUGAUACAGAACACCGAUAGCGAAGGCAGCUUGCUGAACCAUUAUUGACGCUGAGGCACGAAAGCGUGGGGAGCGAACAGGAUUAGAUACCCCGGUAGUCC